AGUUUUUGUGUUUGAAUGGUUAAUGUAAUGCCAUGCGGUAUCAAUGUGACCAAACAUUUCUGUUAAAAAUUAAGUAAUGGGGCUAUAAUUUGCACUUAUUUAUAGGGUCUAUAUAGACUUCCUAUGUAUCAGGUAGAAUCAUGUUCCCCCUUCCCUCCUCGUUUCUAAACACUACAGCCAGCUUGACGACGUACGCGAGCAAGAGUCCUAAGUAACGUUUUGUUAAAUGCCUCCUAAACUGUUAGCUGCAAAAGCUACCUUCAAAUUUGUGCUAUCAAAGAUUUUUACAUAUAUAUAGACAUUAAACAUUUAGGUUAUUUGCAUAGGUUGUUAUAUAUCUUCCUGUGGAGAACUUGAGGUAGGUAAUAAUCUUUUAAAUAAAUUAACUUUACCAAAAAAUUUAGAAGGUCAGGUGAAGAAGCGCUUGUCUUCCCUGUUAAUGUUUUUACUUAUAUCAUAUUUGUUUCAUAUGGCGUUAUAGAACUGGCAGAAUUUUCUUUGCAUUUA